rnacentral:rRNA from 1 species
GAGCACGUAGGUGGGUUUGUAAGUCAGAUGUGAAAGCCUUCUGUUCAACGGAAGAAUUGCAUCUGAAACUGCGAGUCUUGAGUGUAGGAGGGGAGAAUGGAACUUCUGGUGGAGCGGUGAAAUGCGUAGAUAUCAGAAGGAACGCCGGCGGCGAAAGCGAUUCUCUGGCCUAUUACUGACACUCAGUGUGCGAAAGCUAGGGGAGCAAACGGGAUUAGAUACCCCGGUAGUCCUAGCCCUAAACGAUGGGCACUAAGUAGAGGGGUUUU